UACAGAGGUGCCGAGCGUUAGGCGGAAUCACUGGGCUUAAAGCGUGUGUAGGCGGACUUCUAAGUACCUUGUGAAAUCCCACGGCUCACCCGUGGAACUGCUGGGUAUACUGGUCGUCUUGAGCCACCUAGGGGCCAGCGGAACAAAUGGUGGAGCGGUGAAAUGCGUAGAUAUCAUUUGGAACGCCAACGGUGAAAACAGCUGGCUGGGGGUGUGACUGACGCUGAGACACGAAAGCCAGGGGAGCGAACGGG
rnacentral:rRNA from 1 species